rnacentral:rRNA from 1 species
GACGAACGCUGGCGGCGUGCCUAAUACAUGCAAGUAGAACGCUGAAGGAGGAGCUUGCUUCUCCGGAUGAGUUGCGAACGGGUGAGUAACGCGUAGGUAACCUGCCUGGUAGCGGGGGAUAACUAUUGGAAACGAUAGCUAAUACCGCAUAAGAGUAGAUGUUGCAUGACAUUUGCUUAAAAGGUGCAAUUGCAUCGCUACCAGAUGGACCUGCGUUGUAUUAGCUAGUUGGUGGGGUAACGGCUCACCAAGGCGACGAUACAUAGCCGACCUGAGAGGGUGAUCGGCCACACUGGGACUGAGACACGGCCCAGACUCCUACGGGAGGCAGCAGUAGGGAAUCUUCGGCAAUGGACGGAAGUCUGACCGAGCAACGCCGCGUGAGUGAAGAAGGUUUUCGGAUCGUAAAGCUCUGUUGUAAGAGAAGAACGAGUGUGAGAGUGGAAAGUUCACACUGUGACGGUAUCUUACCAGAAAGGGACGGCUAACUACGUG